rnacentral:RNase_P_RNA from 1 species
GAGUUGGCCGAACAGUCGCUGUAUCGCUUUGCGGUAUGGAGGAAAGUCCGGGCUCCACAGGGCAGAGUGCCAGGUAACGCCUGGGAGGCGUGAGCCUACGGAAAGUGCAGCAGAGAGUAGACCGCCUAAGCGCGCAAGCGCCGGUAAGGGUGAAAGGGUGCGGUAAGAGCGCACCGCGCGACUGGCAACAGUUCGUGGCAUGGUAAACCCCACUCGGAGCAAGACCAAAUAGGAAUCCUAUGGUGCGGCCCGCACUGGGUUCGGGUAGGUUGCUACAGGCAGUCAGUGAUGGCUGUCGCAGAGGAAUGACUGUUCUCGACAGAACCCGGCUUACAGGCCAGCUCC